GGUUUGUUUAUUCGUUUCUUCUAGAAAACCUUAGAUGAGAGCAAUACUUGGCUGCCUUGGAUCCCCUGAUGACGAAGCACUGCGGAUCCGGCCACUGUCUUUCGGUAUGCAAGUUCCUCUUGGGUAAGCUUUGGAAAUUCGCGAUAGAGAGCUCUGGCAGCAGCACUCGGAUGUCAAUUUACUGAACGAUUUUAUUGGCAUUCCGGGCAUAUCUUAAGGUGCUAUCGAUGCACUGAGUAGUACGGGAGACACCAAAUUACCGCAGGGCGAGAACAGUGGUACGAAUUUUGUGCAGCUCUUUCGGGGCCACUGAUGGAACGGUUUGUUUAUUCGUUUCUUCUAGAAAACCUUAGAUGAGAGCAAUACUUGGCUGCCUUGGAUCCCCUGAUGACGAAGCACUGCGGAUCCGGCCACUGUCUUUCGGUAUGCAAGUUCCUCUUGGGUAAGCUUUGGAAAUUCGCGAUAGAGAGCUCUGGCAGCAGCACUCGGAUGUCAAUUUAUUGAACGAUUUUAUUGGCAUUCCGGGCAUAUCUUAAGGUGCUAUCGAUGCACUGAGUAGUACGGGAGACACCAAAUUACCGCAGGGCGAGAACAGUGGUACGAAUUUUGUGCAGCUCUUUCGGGGCCACUGAUGGAACGGUUUGUUUAUUCGUUUCUUCUAGAAAACCUUAGAUGAGAGCAAUACUUGGCUGCCUUGGAUCCCCUGAUGACGAAGCACUGCGGAUCCGGCCACUGUCUUUCGGUAUGCAAGUUCCUCUUGGAAAACCUUAGAUGAGAGCAAUACUUGGCUGCCUUGGAUCCCCUGAUGACGAAGCACUGCGGAUCCGGCCACUGUCUUUCGAAAACCUUAGAUGAGAGCAAUACUUGGCUGCCUUGGAUCCCCUGAUGACGAAGCACUGCGGAUCCGGCCACUGUCUUUCGAAAACCUUAGAUGAGAGCAAUACUUGGCUGCCUUGGAUCCCCUGAUGACGAAGCACUGCGGAUCCGGCCACUGUCUUUCGAAAACCUUAGAUGAGAGCAAUACUUGGCUGCCUUGGAUCCCCUGAUGACGAAGCACUGCGGAUCCGGCCACUGUCUUUCGAAAACCUUAGAUGAGAGCAAUACUUGGCUGCCUUGGAUCCCCUGAUGACGAAGCACUGCGGAUCCGGCCACUGUCUUUCGAAAACCUUAGAUGAGAGCAAUACUUGGCUGCCUUGGAUCCCCUGAUGACGAAGCACUGCGGAUCCGGCCACUGUCUUUCGAAAACCUUAGAUGAGAGCAAUACUUGGCUGCCUUGGAUCCCCUGAUGACGAAGCACUGCGGAUCCGGCCACUGUCUUUCGAAAACCUUAGAUGAGAGCAAUACUUGGCUGCCUUGGAUCCCCUGAUGACGAAGCACUGCGGAUCCGGCCACUGUCUUUCGAAAACCUUAGAUGAGAGCAAUACUUGGCUGCCUUGGAUCCCCUGAUGACGAAGCACUGCGGAUCCGGCCACUGUCUUUCGGUAUGCAAGUUCCUC